AUAAACAAGUGUGAAAUGAAUAAAAAAGUUUCUUCAAUUGCUGAUAUUCUUGAGAACCAUCAUACAAAGAAGAAAAGGAGCAGGACUACUUGCAAACGACUUGCUUGAGGGGACUAAUAGAAUACACUUUGCA